GCAGUGAGUUACAUCUCCAGCCCUCUUUUAUUUUUAAGCUUUGAGACAGGGUCUCAUCAAGUCGCCGAGUUGCCCGAGCUGGCCUGGCGCUUCUGUCCUCCUCUCUCUGCCCCCCGGAGUGCUGGGAUUGCAGGCAUGCAUCACCCCGCCAAGCUUCUCGCCUCACUUAUUAAGCUCAAAAAUCGACUGAAAUAGAGCAUAGUUUUCUGUGUAACUUUUAACAGUCUCUGGUGAAAUCUUGCCAACCACCGUUUCUGAAGAAAAGCCUCUUGCAGUUCAGGAAGUUUACAUUUCCAACCCAGAAAUCUCUCACCUUCCACCAAUUUGAGGUUGACAUCUGCUGUCCUUCUGGCUCUCUUCAAAUGUGGCCUCUGUCUGCCUGCUGGCCAGGCCUCCAGGCUGCGCAGUGACCACACCCUGACGGAAGGCAGCAGAGCCGCCUCCACGCGGCUGCGUCUUUCCUCGCACUCGGCCUCUUUCCUCCCUUCCUUUCCUGCUCGAGGCGUGCGUGUGCGUGCGUGCGUGUGCGUGCACCGUCCCUGCCUUCUCUGUGCCCCUCAGAGUGCAAGAGUGGCUGCUGGGUCUCAGGCCAGUGCCGGGAGCUGGGCGCACUGGGAGAGAAACAGUGCCCGCCACACAGACAGGGAGAGGAGGCGUCCGGCUGUCCUCGAAGGCCCCUCACGGACACAGCGCCUCAGGCAGCAAGAGAUGCAAAGCGGAUGUCCGCCAACGAAGUCACCAUCAGUGCGCCGGACGGCCUCCGGAGGAUGGACAGAAGUAACAGAAUCACAAAGAGCUGCAUCAACUAGCAGAGUCCUGGGGCACGGACACCUCUGGGCUCCUGAGUGCUGGCCUGACCUCGGCCCCCGCCGCCCUAGGAUGGUGAAUGGGCUGGACGGCCCCACCGUGCCGUGAUGGCCAGGGCACCGUGGAUCGCCCUUUGCAGCCCUGUCCAAGGUUGGGGCGGACAGGGUGAGCCGCAGCCCAGGGCACUUUAUGAGAGAGAAGGGGCGGGGUGCAUCUCCCUGCCAGGAGGGCCACGCGCUGCGCCAGGUGCUCUGGGCAGGCACUUCCUCCCCUCCCUUCCCUUUUCUCCCUCCUGUCCUCCGUCCUUCCCUCCCUCCCUCCCUCCUUCCUAUCAAUCCUGCCAUUGCCCAUCUUGCAGGUCUCACUGAAAAGCUGGCCUACCCAGCUCUAACCCAGAUGUUCAUGCACACCGAGGCCCGGGCAAGUCCUGUGGUCUCCUCUCCUUAGCUCAGAGCCGGCAGAGCCCACACCCCGGGCUCCAGCUCCGCCAGCGCUGCCCGGAGGGUCUCGGGGUGUCUGUGUGCCACGUCACGCCCUCGUCUCCUGGUCUCCAUCCUUGGGCCAACGCGUCCCAGCUGGGGCACCCAGGGCCCAGCCGGAACUUUCUGCUCCCCACGGCUCCUCCCAGGGCCUGUCCUCAGGGGUCCUUUGCAGCUGUGAUCAGAGACAGCCAGGAGGACCUCGUGGGAGGGAGGUCACAGGGAUGUGGGCACCACAGGCUUCCCUGGCCCCUGCCCACAGCCCUGGCAUGGCGUCAUCUAGAUGUCUGCAGAGGAAUCCGGCGGGAGAGCCAGCGCCUGGCUGAGGGAUUGCAUGUGGAGCCGUCGCCCACCAGCGCAGCAAUUAAAGCCUUGCAGCCGGGUCUGUGUGUGAGGAGCCGGCGUCAGACACAGCUAAGCCUGGUCUGCGGGAGAAAGCGUCUCUGAGGAUCGCCGAUCACCAGGUCCCGGUGACGCAGUGCUCCCAGGAAGCCACCUCACCCCCGGGCCUAUCCUGGACUUAGGCCACGGUAGCAACUUACACUAACGACUUGCCAACUCCGUCUGUCUCCGCCCGCUUCCUGGAAGGCACCUCAUGCACAUGUGCAGGUGACAGAAGAACAUCUGUGGCCAGGCACUCGUCCCUGCUCCUGCCCGGCUCCAGUCCUUGGACACAGCGGUGGGGUUUGCGCAGCACAGGCGAGUGUCCAGAAGCGCAGCCGCAGUGGCGGCCCUGUCAUGUGACAGGAGUUGCAUCCGGAAACUGAAAGGGGCGAAGGUGUUGUGGGGCUGGGAGGAGCUGCAGAUCUCCGAGCUUUCCCUGCAGAGUCAUCUUAGUCUGCAGCAGACGUGUGGACCUGAGCUUGGUGGCCUGUGUCAGGACAAAGUGCCUGCCACACACAGCUGAAGGAGGAAGCAUUUCUUCGGGCUCCCUGCCCCGGGGGUGUCAGUCCGUGGUGGCUCCAAGGCCCAGACAUGGCCGUGGGGGAGGUGAGGAAGCUGCUGGACUCAUGGCGGCUGGGAAGAGGGCCCGAGGGAGCAACAUUCCCGAAAGGUUCCUGCAGGGACCCUCCAGGGGCUGGGCCCCACCUCCGAGCCUCCCGGCCGGCUGUGCCUCGUCAGCGGGCGGACGUAUGGGAGAGGUUUGCCCCUCGUGAUCCAUUUGACCUGCCAAAGUGCCCCGUCUGAACCCAUGCUUCUUUGGGGGACAUUUGAGGUCAAGCCCUAAAGCUUUACUGCAGCAGGUGGCACGGAGGACUUGGGAUGACCCACCUUUCCAUCCCUUGGGCCCUCUUGUCCGCUUCACGACGAGUGGUGGGACACAGAAUUCUUGGUGAAGACACUACAGACUCAGGACAGACCUGCUGGCCAUCUGGGCUCUGAGUCUUCUCACACCUUCCUUUCUGUUAGCACUUUUGUUCCCUCCACACAGGCGCGCACCGCUGUGCCCUGAGCAGCCCACACGUUGACGGCAGCCAGCCUGUUCAUUCAAGUGCACCUCUCCAGUGGUGUGGCGCCAGCUGACCAGCACGGGAGCCGCCGAGGAUGUCCCAGGUAGUCACUUGGUCCCGUCCUGCCUGGUGUAGGGUUUGCGGUCUCACCAGCAGUCUCUGCUUAGAGCUCUGGGAGUCCUUACGCAGUCCAGUGAAAUGGCCUCAGAGUCAUCAGAAACCCAUCCUGUCGGAGGCCCCUUGCAAACGAGACACUUCCAACCAGAGUCAGUGAUCCUCAGCCAUCCAAUGACAGCACUGGCCACAACUGCAGAGCUCCAGGGAGUUCGUUGCAGUAGGGCACCCGGACAAGGAGUCUGGUGUGCUGGACUCAUGUCUGUCUUGGGUCCAUCAGAUCGCCCCCUCUCUGAGGGUCCAGGAAGUGCGACAUCAACAGCACCGCACACCGUGAGACUUUCGGGGGACAUUUCAGAUGUCGGCCGCAGCUCACCCAGAUACUACAUGCGGUUCCGUUGCUGUCUGAUCCAGUCAGCGACCUGAGGCCUCUCCAGGACCUGAGCCCUACUGAGUUUGUUCAAGCCAGGCCUGCCACGCACGCCUGUAAUCCCAGCGCUCAGGAGGCAGAUGCAGGAGGAUCUCCGGAAGUUUGAGC